UUUAGGCAUUUAGUUUUAACCAACACUAGCAAAAUUCACAAUAACACGUUUCAGGUUUUCUGCCGCAGAAUAAUAUAUUGCUUGUUGCGAACAAAUUACUUGCCGUUAUCAAUUACAUGAACAAAAAAGUGCCAUAACGAAUUAAAGUUGAAAAUUCCGAGGACGAGAAUGAAUUUAUCACGGAGGAACAUUACCUUCGAGGCGGCGAUCUUUCUUCUGGUCCUCGUAGCAGCGGUGUCGAGCUUCACGUGCUACGUCUGCCUGCCCGAAGUGAAAG
rnacentral:misc_RNA from 1 species